rnacentral:lncRNA from 1 species
AUAGCAAUUCCUGAAAGAGCUAAAAGCAGAACUAAUAUUCAACCCAGCAAUCCCAUUACUGGGUAUACACUCAGAGGAAUAUAAAUCAUUCUGCCAUAAAGACACAUGCAUGCAAAUGUUCACCACAGCACUAUUCACAAUAGCAAAGACGUGGAAUCAACCUAAAUGCCUAUCAAUGAAAGAUUAAAUAAAGAAAAUAUGUACACCACGGAAUACAAUACAGCCAUAAAAUAUUAUUCUUAGCAAACUAACCCUGGAACAAAUACUGCAUGUUCUCACUGAGGCUGAGGGUACAGUGAGCCAUGAUUGUGCCACUGCACUCCAGCCUAGGUGGCAGAGCAAGACCCUGUCUCAAACAAACAAACAAACAAAAACCCCACAAUAAUAAAGAUGAGUGCUAGGAUUCUAUACAUCUUCUAUUAAAAUGUUUGUCCUCAGAAUUGAAAAUGAGGCCCAGAAGAUUAACUAACCCAUCCAUAAUUUCACAGCCAAACAAGGGAUAGGGUCAGGAUUUGAAGCCAAAAUUGUCUGCCAUUUCAGAGGAAACCAGACUCAGGCCGCUGUAGAGUCCUGUAGAGCGGCAACUUGGCUCCCCAGGCAGGCAGCUGGUGACUUCCCAGGGUCUGGCACAUGAAAUAGGUCUCCUGAAGUCCUCCCCCUACUUCA